rnacentral:rRNA from 1 species
CGCUGAAGCACCUUCGGGUGUGGAUGAGUGGCGAACGGGUGAGUAACACGUGGGUAACCUGCCCUGUACUUUGGGAUAAGCCCUGGAAACGGGGUCUAAUACCGAAUAUGACCUUGCACCGCAUGGUGUGGGGUGGAAAGUUUCGGCGGUACAGGAUGGGCCCGCGGCCUAUCAGCUUGUUGGUGGGGUAGUGGCCUACCAAGGCGACGACGGGUAGCCGGCCUGAGAGGGUGACCGGCCACACUGGGACUGAGACACGGCCCAGACUCCUACGGGAGGCAGCAGUGGGGAAUAUUGCACAAUGGGCGGAAGCCUGAUGCAGCGACGCCGCGUGAGGGAUGACGGCCUUCGGGUUGUAAACCUCUUUCGCCAGGGACGAAGCGCAAGUGACGGUACCUGGAGAAGAAGCACCGGCUAACUACGUGCCAGCAGCCGCGGUAAUACGUAGGGUGCAAGCGUUGUCCGGAAUUAUUGGGCGUAAAGAGCUCGUAGGCGGCUUGUCGCGUCUGCUGUGAAAAUCCGGGGCUUAACUCCGGACCUGCAGUGGAUACGGGCAGGCUUGAGUUCGGUAGGGGAGACUGGAAUUCCUGGUGUAGCGGUGAAAUGCGCAGAUAUCAGGAGGAACACCGGUGGCGAAGGCGGGUCUCUGGGCCGAUACUGACGCUGAGGAGCGAAAGCGUGGGGAGCGAACAGGAUUAGAUACCCUGGUAGUCCACGCUGUAAACGUUGGGCGCUAGGUGUGGGCGACUUCCACGUUGUCCGUGCCGUAGCUAACGCAUUAAGCGCCCCGCCUGGGGAGUAC